UGUAAGCGUAUACCAAAGUUGUUGCAGUUAAAACGCUCGUAGUCGGAAUUUGGCAGUUCCGGAUGUGUGCACGUCGUGUGCGCACUUCGCGGGGAUUGCUUUUGUGGUCUUGCGUAGGAUGAGGCACUUUUAUUAGUGAACGUCCUCACGCAACCACUUUUUACUGUGAGAAAAUCAGAGUGCUCAAAGCAGGCAUUUGCCGUGAAUGUAUUAGCAUGGAAUAAUAGAAUAGGACUUGGUUCUAUUUUGUUGGUUUGUUGGGACUGGGUAAUGAUUAAGAGGGACAGUUGGGGGCAUUUGUAUUUCGGUGCUAGAGGUGAAAUUCUUAGAUUACCGAAAGACAAACUGCUGCGAAAGCGUCUGCCAAGGAUGUUUUCAUUGA
rnacentral:rRNA from 1 species